UGACCUCAGGCUGCUCAUUUCCCUUCUCUGAGCCUCAGGGUCCGCAGCUGGGAGAUGGGUGUGCGCGUGAUAAGGAUGGAACGUGCAGGGUGCGUGUCAGGAUGCAACGAGAAGGUGAGGAAACCGAGGCCCCAGAGGGGUGGAGAGAUUUGCGCAAGCUCUCCGUGGGACGGGAGCCCUCCACUGCCAUCGUUCACUUCCAGAGACUUUGAAGGGAAAGGCCCAGAACUGGCCUUGAGGCUGAGAACCGGUUUCUAAGCUGUUGUGCUGCUCAACCAACGGGAGACCGAGUGGAGCUGCACCAGGCCUCGGGGACAGGAUGGUUUGUAUUUGCUACUGGCUUCAAAAAGCUCCAAAGUGUGACAUCCUUCACCUUUUAGUAAUAUCAAAGACUGGUUCCAAGCAUGGUUUCUUCCUGCACGUGCUUCCCAAGGUAAGUAUUUAAAUGUAAGUAUUUCGAAGUGUCUCUGCACUCAAGUCACCCAGCCCAAGAUUCACACAGGACUUCGCCUCCUUGUGAAUAAAGUGACACCGAUCCCGACCAGAGCAAGGCUCAGCCCCAAUUCUCUUGCGCAGAAGGACUCCAUGUCAUUCGUGUUGGCCCCCACGCGUCUCCAGGUCCAAUACUGCAUGGCACGGUUGCCUGCAACGCGCUCUGUCCCUCACCAGUUUCCAACUCUAACUCCUGAUUCUCGCCCUCUAUCAGGAAUGGUCCUGCAAUUCUCAGUAAAAACAAAACUAAACAUAGUCUUACCGCGUGAUCCAGCAAGCCACGCUCCUCGGGAUUACUCAAAUGAGUUGAAAGCUUCUGUCCAUACUAAAACCUGCAAACAGAGGUUUAUAGCAGCUUUAUUCAUAACCGCCAAACCUUGGAAGCAACCA